rnacentral:lncRNA from 10 species
GGAAAGGCAGACCCACCCUUAAUUUGGGUGGGCACAAUCUAAUCAGCCACCACUGCGACUGGGAUAAAAGCAGGCAGAAGAACAUGAAGAGAUCAGACUAGCUUAGCUUUCCAGCCUACAUCUUUCUCCUAUGCUGGAUGCUUCCUGCCCUCGAACAUGGACUCCAAGUUCUUCAGCUUUGGGACUCAGACUGGCUUCCUUGCUACUCAGCUUGCAGACGUCCUAUUGUGGAACCUCGUGAAUGUCUUCAGAAGCUCAGUUACUAGGAACCCACCUUUAAGGAAUGCAGAGAACCUUGAUUUCUGGCAAGUCUUGUAAAUGCGGCAAGAUGGUGUCUGCCUGAAUGGACAUUUCUACAUUAUUCUGGAAAGUAUAUUCAACACCUAGUGAGAUUUCAUCACUCUUUAUGAAAUAAGAACACAACCUAAUUUUCAAUUCCACAUUGCAUCACGAAGAAGUACUAAUUGGACAUGGAUGCACAUAUGAUGGAAAUCGCAGGGGCCAGAGACCUGGGCUGGAGCAAAUUGUGGUCUGGAUAUGAUUAACUCUAGAAAAUCUCAACUGUGGUUGCUGUCAUAAUUCCUAAUACCUGUAGUAUAAAAGAACUUUAUAAUAUCUGACUAUUUGGCAACCUCAGUGUUAAAUCUAAAGUUUGAGCAUGAGGUGGACCUAGUUAUGAACUUUUCACAGGUUGGGGUAAAUGAUAAAGAGAAACAUUUCUAGUAAAAAUACUAAAGCCCACAUCUGCUCUUUUCAGUUCCCACUUCCAACAAUCUAAUUCACUCUCUUGUCAACUGUAGUUUGAAUGAAUAAUACUGAUCUCCACAUCUCACGUUUAAUGUCUAUCCAUUUUAUCUCUCACACUGCUUCCAAAAUAUUUUUUGUAAAAUAAUACUUUUGUCCAGCUUACUAGAAAAAAAUCUUAAAGAGCCCAUUAAUAACUGAGUAUAUACUUGCUUUCAAAAACCUCCACAGUCAGGUACCUAUAUACGGUUUCAACCUUAAUUUCUUCUCCUCACUUGCACACAAUUUCCAAUCUAGUUUAACUGGGGUCCCACUGAUAUAAAUACAGUUUAAUGCCUUAGGUACACAGUGUUAAUUAUUUUCCUCCCAAUUCGCAAACAUCUUCUAUAAAUUUAAACUUUAUCCUUUCUCAAAACCCAGUUUGGAGCCCCCAUUUAACCGCAACUAUCUGUGAAAUACUUAAUGCCAAAACAUCCUUUUCUUGUCUGUUUCUCCAGAAAACAGCUUUAAAUUGCCUAAGCCUCAUCUUUGCUUGCCAGUAGUUACAAAUUUUGUAUCUUCUAGGUGAGUUGAUGUGUCCGUUAAACUUUUUACAAGUACAUUUACCUCCUCCACAUUAAUAAUGUGUUCCUAGUGUCCAGUUCUUUGCAUGUAUUAAAUUUUCAGAAUAGUUCAUUUAUUGAUUUAUGUAUUAACCAAUACAAUUAGAGACACAAUCAAGAAAUAUGAAUUAUUGCUACCAUCGUGUAUUACACCCCAUCAAACUUCUCAUUGCAAAAAUAGAAAGACAUGCCUGGAUUUGGUUAAGUUACUAGAAAGAUAACUAUGUUACUAUCAGAUAAAUAUGUUACUAGGUCAAAUAAUCAAGCUUAUCUAGUUGGCUAGCUCAAAAUUCUCAGUAAUUAACAUUAUGACAUUUGUGAACAGCUUCCAUAAACUUUUGAAUUAGGGCUUUAAAUCAGAAGAAUAAAAAGUGUCAUGGAAGAUAUGGCUGCAUCUGCAGCUCCAUAGGAAGAAUCCCCACCUGCAUAACUAUUGGUUGCUGUGGCUAAUUGAAGGUAUGCAAUGUCCAAAUUUAUAAAGUAAUACAAAUUGUCUUCUGCCUCCGCAAUCUUCUUGGCCUACGAUCUUCCUCUGCCAACCCACACUGGAAUGCAAUUUAUUUUUCAAAAUCCACCCCAAAUACUGUUAUCUUCAUAACCUACUUUUUUUUUUCACUUCAGCUGGCCCUCUUUGAGCCAAAACACCAAAAAAACUCAUUAAUUAUCCUUUUAAAUGGGUGAUUGACUUUAAAAUAUUCCUUCUGAAAUGAUUAUUCACAUUACAGCAUUUUCUUUAAUUAGACAUUAGGACUUCAAGCCUUCUAUAUUAUAACUGUUUUUCUUUCCCUCUCACUAUUCCAAACCCAGUGGAAUUUCAACUGUUAGCUGGGGAGAUUUUUGUUGGCAGAAGAGGAGAACCCUGCCGUACUUACUGUUAACCAUAGUAUUUGUCCAUAGAAACAGAAUGUGAGCCUUACAGGUAAUUUUAAAUAUUCUAGGGGCUACAAUUUUUUUUUUUUUUUUUUUUUUUGAGACGGAGUCUCGCUCUACCGCCCAGGCGGGAGUGCAGUGGCGCAAUCUCGGCUCACUGCAAGCUCCACCUCCCGGGUUCACGCCAUUCUCCUGCCUCAGCCUCCCCAGCUGCUGGGACUACAGGCGCACGCCACUACGCCUGGCUAAUUUUUUGUAUUUUUAGUAGAGACGGGGUUGAGGCUACAUUUUUUUAAAAAAGCAAGUAAAAUUAAUUUUAAUAAACUACAUGUCUUCAAAGCAUUCAAUUUGUAAUACAUGUAAAAUUUAUUUGUGAGUUGUUGUGCAUUCUUGUGUUGCACGGAGCCUGUAUAAUCCUGUGUAUAUUUCACACCAUGACACAGCUAAACCUGACUAGCCACAUUUUAAGUGCUCAGUGGCUAUGUGGGCUAGUAGUUAUCCUAUUGGAAGUUUAGGCUAGAGGGUGAUUCAAGGAAAGGUGGAACAGGUCAGAAAGUCUAAAAUCUGUUCCCCACAAACAAUCCCAGAUCUCCAGAAGCUGGGGAAACAAUCACAAUGUAGGAGAAAGUACAUAAAAUAAAGUAUCGGCCCGGCACGGUGGCUCAUGCCUGUAAUCCCAGCACUUUGGGAGGCCUAGGCAGGCGGAUCAUGAGGUCAAGAGAUAGAGACCAUCCUGGCCAACCAACAUGGUGAAACCCCA